UACGAAGGGGGCUAGCGUUGCUCGGAAUCACUGGGCGUAAAGGGUGCGUAGGCGGGUCUUUAAGUCAGGGGUGAAAUCCUGGAGCUCAACUCCAGAACUGCCUUUGAUACUGAAGAUCUUGAGUUCGGGAGAGGUGAGUGGAACUGCGAGUGUAGAGGUGAAAUUCGUAGAUAUUCGCAAGAACACCAGUGGCGAAGGCGGCUCACUGGCCCGAUACUGACGCUGGAGGCA
rnacentral:rRNA from 1 species